rnacentral:lncRNA from 1 species
AUGGUGGAGGAGACAGAUAAUCAGUGCCUUCUGCACAGAGUGCAGAAUUGGAACACUCUGUCUUGGCAAGUCAUGCCUCCUUGGAGAGCGUUCAGAAGGAGCUGCCCUUUCUGGCCCGGAGCAAACCGAACCUCAGACCUGGAACACUCCUUCAUUCGGCUGACUGCUGCUGCCUCAGCAUCAUCCCUGUGGAAGCCUGCUUCACGUACCGAUGAGGUCGCCCUCCUGUCUGCAUCCCUGAGAGUCAUGGUUACGAUUCUGCACUGGGGGCUUCUUCCCCCACUAGCCUGUAAGCUCCUUGGGCACGGGGAACGUGGCCUUUCUUAUUCACUGUUGCGUCUCUAGCGCACAGCCUGGGGCCUGGUGCACACUAGCUGCUUACUCCCUAUUUGUUGACAAUGAACAAAUUGCACCGUUGUUUAUAAUAGUGAACAACUGGAGAAAAUUUACUGAGAACAAGUUAAAUCACCAUGUAUGGGUGUGAUGCAAUACCAUGGAAGUCUUCGAAACAAUGCAGUGGAGCUGUGUUUACCGACAUGGAAAGUUGGCUGGGAUAGAGUUUAAGUAAAAAACAACAAAAAAAGCAAGUUGCAGAACAAUUGGUAGGGGAAACCGUUGUUUUUUGUUUUGUUUUGUUUUUUAAGUCAUUGUUUUAAAAUCAAAAGCAGUAUAUCCAGGAUAGGUUCAAUGGGGCGUGAGCGAAGGUGUGGAAGGACGAUGUCAAAUGGUUCACAAGGCUUAGUGCUGGCUGCUGGGCCGGGAGAGUGAGAGAGGCGACUUAAGUACAUUUUGUAAAGAAUUUAUAAAAUUUUGCGUUGCUUGAAAUUUUUAUUUUUACAAGUACGU